UACGUAGGGGGGCAAGCGUUGUCCGGAUUUAUUGGGCGUAAAGCGCGCGUAGGCGGCCCUGUAAGUCCGUUGUGAAAGUCAAAGGCUCAACCUUUGAAAGCCGAUGGAUACUGCAGGGCUAGAGUCCGGAAGAGGCGAGUGGAAUUCCUGGUGUAGCGGUGGAAUGCGCAGAUAUCAGGAGGAACACCAAUAGCGAAGGCAGCUCGCUGGGACGGUACUGACGCUAAGGCGCGAAAGCGUGGGGAGCGAACAGGA
rnacentral:rRNA from 1 species